rnacentral:lncRNA from 1 species
UGCCUCAUGGAAAUUAAUCAACGUACACAUCAUUCAACAAUUGGAAUCCAUGCCAUUCUACAAUAAAAGAAAAUUCCAACUUUCACUGCAUAAAAGGAAAUGAAAUCAUAAAGCUAAUUAUCUACACUGUAGCUGGACGUGACAAUGCUUUCAAUUAAAAUGAACACUUCUAAAGAAAACUUCUUUCCCAGGCGGACACCUUUAACUUCCACAAUAAUGAGUGCACCAUGUGCUAUUUCUGGCUACAUUGUGGUAUCUUCGUGCUUCUCCCAAUCAUCAAAUCAGCGGAAAAAUUUAAUAAAAGUGAUAUGCUAAACUUGACCGUGCUUAAUCUAAAAGUGGGAAAUUUAAACAUUGUGCAGAACUUCAAAGAUUAAAGAUGUCUCCCAUCAUGAAUCAUUGUUUUCUUACUUUCUAAAACAAGAGUAAAUGUGCUAAAAUAAAAGAGAAAAUGAGUUUCUCCUUCCAAACUGUGACACUCUACUGGAAUGAAAAGAAAUUAAAAAAAUUCAAAUGCAAGGUGCAGAAUAUUCUAUCCAUAACCCUCCAUGUUUCCUACUCUUCUCCCCCAAUGUAACAGUGUUCUCUCUCAAAUGAAUGUUCAAUCCCUUAUAUAUGGUAGUUGUCCCUGGAGCAAUCCUGAGACCCCCUCUUUUACCCUACAUGCCAGCGUGGAUUGGCUGGACCUGCCGUGUUGCAUCUGGACUUAGUGGACCGUGGGCUUCCUUAUUUUUUUCGUUGGCAACUGGAUGCUUAGACGUUUUGCUGGAUCAGUGGAAGUGUGGAGUGAGGCAGGGAGGUGCGUGUGGAUGCAACCUGCUGGGUCCGUGACGUGUUUUUGCUGCUGGUUGAAUGUUGAUUGCUGAUGAAGCGUGGAGCUGCAGCUUGGGCCGUGAAUUGUUGUGGAGUGCUGCACCUCCUUUGGGCCAUGGCAGCAGCUAGAAUUCUGGAUGUGCCAAAAAGAAUUGCUAACCAUGCUGCAGCUUCUGGAUGUCACACCAUUCAUCUCCAACGCUGUAGUGUAGAGGCCGUGAGCUCAUGUUAAUGUUGGGCCGUGAAAGGAGUUACUGCCUAAUUGCUUGCUGCCAGCCAGGCCUUUAAAUUUUCACCUACAACCCAUUUUCUAUGAUUGAAAUCAGUGCAUGGGUUUCUAAAAUCAAAGGAAAUGAAUUGUUGCUUCUCAUCCUUGAAUCAGCGUUUUUUUAUUCUAAUCACCGUGCAACACCUCUCUUUUUCAUCUAAGUGAAAUCAACCGUCUUAAAUAACCCAUGGGCUGUGACCGUGUAUAUUUUCCUCAGCCAAAAUCAAUUCCUCACCGCAUCCUUCUCAAGACCAAAAUGAAUGCACCCAAUUCUAAUGGAAUAAACUUCUCCAUGUGGGUCGUAGUGUUGCUGCACAACGUCUUCAAAUGUCGGAGCUGUUGCUGGCUUUCUGAAGCCGUGAAUGCUUCUUCCUUCCAUCAAAAGUAAAAGCCAUACAUGUGGCUGCUGGACAAUUUAAUUGGGGCUGCAGCUGGUGGUCGUGUCCGUGUGGAGGCUGCUGGAUUCUUGGUGCUUGGACGCGUGUUCCUCAUGAACCAGCCAGGCCGUGACUCCCUUUCCAAGCCCAAAUGAAAUCAGUAGCUUGCUGUCAGGAGUGUUGCUGGAAGCAUGUAUAUUUGGGCUUCCUUUAUUUUUAAUUGUUGAUGCUACAUAUUAAAUUUCCCAAGUGCCG